GCUGCUUCCCAACAGGAAAACGGCGCUGGACGCGAGCUUCUCCUCCUCAUCCUCCACUGCGCACCCCAGUUCCCUGGGACUCACAGCCAGCUGGGCGAUAUCAGAUGUAAUGCACGUGUAUUUGGACACCUGCACUCUUUACACCUGUUUCCAGUGAUCACCAGGAAUUUACUAAGGAAUCUGCUACUGGACACUGACAAACAAAAAUGUUGUACCAGCUAGUGCAUAAAGUCCACUGUCCAUAAAAAGAAGGCUUUCCUGUAACCACCUUAGCCUUGUAACAGCACUAAAUAAAACCCACCAGAACUACAGGCCUUCUUCUUUAGACCACCUAGAAGUCUUUUUUUCUCCAGUGAGGAUGAACUACUGAGGUAUGAAUGUGCUGAGUGUCCAUGCCUGGAGUUACAAGGAGCACACUUUGGGCACACAGCCUGUGCACACACUGCUGUUUCUCUCCCAAACUAAGCAGAAAGUUUCACACUGAG